rnacentral:tRNA from 1 species
GCAGCCAUGGUGAAAUUGGUAGACACACUGCUCUUAGGAAGCAGUGCUCAAUCAUCUCGGUUCGAAUCCGAGUGGCGGAA